rnacentral:misc_RNA from 1 species
GACGGAGGGCGCGAGCGUUGUCCGGAAUCAUUGGGCGUAAAGCGCGCGUAGGCGGCCCCGUAAGUCCGCUGUAAAAGUCAAGGGCUCAACCUUUGAAAGCCGGUGGAUACUGCGGGGCUAGAGUCCGGAAGAGGCGAGUGGAAUUCCUGGUGUAGCGGUGGAAUGCGCAGAUAUCAGGAGGAACACCAAUAGCGAAGGCAGCUCGCUGGGACGGUACUGACGCUAAGGCGCGAAAGCGUGGGGAGCGAACAGG